rnacentral:snRNA from 1 species
ACUCAUAUCUGGUGGGGAGAUACCAUGAUCAUGAAAGUGGUUUUCAGGGUGAGGCCCAUGCAUUGGACUUUGGGUGUGCUGAUCCCUGUGAUGUGGGGAAAUCACCUGCAUUUGAUCCCCAAAUGUGGGGAAAUCACCUGCAUAAUUGGUGGUAGUGGGGGACUGUGUUUGUGGUUUCCCCUG